CAGGUCUGCCGAGGGUGGGGCGCACCAGGCCCCCCAUCACCCCAUCCCAGAGUCGGACACAAGGGGGAACCUGUCUCCCAAGACCCCUGCAGAGUGAACAAAGCUGCUGGACCAAACCCAUUCACCAGCUCAUUCUACAGGGGCCCCCCGAGAACACGGCCUGUGAAGCAUCAUGGGACACCUGAGGGGAACCCAGGAGUCCGAGUCCAGUCCAACACGGGCCCAGAGGAGGGAGGGACAGGCCAAAAAGCCCCGCUGUGAAUCUAGCCUGAGCCCCUGGACAGGGCCGGCUUUAGGCCGAUUCCACCACUUUCCCCGAAUCGGGCCCCGCGCCCAGGGGCAGAGCCACCGGGGGGUGGGGCAAGUGGCCGAGAAUCCCUUCUCUGGCUAGAGGCUCCUUUUUGAAUUUUUACUCACCCGACAGCGCUCUGGGUCUUCAGCAGCACUUCGGUGGCCGGUGAAGGACCCGCCACCGAAGAUUAGGCGCACCGCCCAGUGAGUACAAGCCCCACAUGGUUUUUUAUGUUUUUUGGUUUUUUAAGUCAUCCCUGCUGGUGCCCUGUCGAAACUGUUCGAAUUGGGCACCGCGCUUCCUAAAGCCGGCCCUGCCCCUGGAAACCCUGGGCCAUAGAUCGGCCCCAAGUGAUACCUGCCUGAGCUAGAAAAAGGUCCCGAGUCGAGGAACCAUUUCCGGGAGGGGGGGGGCGGAGGGAGUGGUGCCAGUGCCAGUGGUUAAUUCCCUCUGCUGAGAAAUCUGCACCUCCUGUCCAGUCUGCUUCAAUCGCCAGCCACAGGAUCUUCUCACACCCACCCUGAGUGAAGAGCCCCCUGUUAUCAAACUGCUGGUACCGAGAGAGAGACGGGGGGCGGGGGAAAUGGGGGUGGACAGAGCUAAAAAGAGGGGUGUGAAUGGAGCUAGAGAGGUGAGUGUGAACAGAGACAGACAGAGCAGGAGGGGUGUGAACAGAGGACAGGGCUGGAGAGGGAUGCGAUUUGAGCCUAGAGGGGGGGUGAAUAGAGCUAGGGAGGUGGGUGUGAACAGAGACAGACAGAGCAGGAGGGGUGUGAAAAGAGGACAGGCUGGAGGGGGUGUGAUUUGAGCCCAGAGUGGUGUGAUUUGAGCUAGAGAGGCAGGUGUGAACAGGCACCGACAGAGCUAGGAUGAGGGGAGAGGUGUGAACUCGGGAGGGGCUGUGGGUGUGAACGGGUCCUGGACGGGGUGUGAAUGGGGAAGAUAUGGACGGGGUGUGAAUGGAGGACAGGGCCGGAGAGGGGUGUGAUUUGAGCCUAGAGGGGUGUGAUUUGAGCUAGAGAGGCAGGUGUGAACAGGCACCAGCAGAGCUAGAAUGAGGGGAGAGGUGUGAACUCGGGAGGGGCUGGGGGUGUGAAUGGGGCCUGGACAGGGUGUGAACUGGGAGCACCAGAGCGUGGUGCGGUUGGGGAUAGAGAGAGAG